rnacentral:rRNA from 1 species
CGAAGGCGUUGACGCUGCACUGCCAAGAAAAGCCUCUAGGGAGGAGCCAGGGUGCCCGUACCCUAAACCGACACAGGUGGGCUGGUUGAGCAGACUGAAGGUGGACGGGAUAACUCUCGCUAAGGAACUCUGCAAGUUGACCCCGUAACUUAGGGAGAAGGGGUGCCCGCGUUAGGUGUACUCUUUAACAGGGGAAGCCGAAGCGGGUGGCAGAAACCAGGUCCAGGCGACUGUUUAAUAAAAACACAGGGCUCUGCUAAAGGCGAAAGCCGAUGUAUAGGGCCUGACACCUGCCCGGUGCCGGAAGGUUAAGGGGAGGGGUUAGCCAAAGCGAUUUGGCGAAGCUCUAAACCGAAGCCCCGGUAAACGGCGGCCGUAACUAUAACGGUCCUAAGGUAGCGAAAUUCCUUGUCGGGUAAGUUCCGACCUGCACGAAAGGUGUAACGAUCUGGACGCUGUCUCAGCGAGAGACCCGGUGAAAUUGUGGGACCGGUAAAGACGCCGGUUACCCGUGGUGGGACGGAAAGACCCCGUGGAGCUUUACUGUAGCCUGAUAUUGGACUUUGGUACGUCAUGUACAGGAUAGGUGGGAGGCUGUGAAGCUAAGGCGCUAGCCUUAGUGGAGCCGUCCUUGGGAUACCACCCUUGAUGUGCUGGGGUUCUAACCGCGAAGGCGGGACAGUGUCAGGUGGGCAGUUUGACUGGGGCGGUCGCCUCCUAAAGAGUAACGGAGGCGCGCGAUGGUCACCUCAAGGCGUAUGGAAAUCGCCUGAAGAGCGUAAGGGUAUAAGGUGGCCUGACUGCGAGAGCGACAGCUCGAGCAGGCACGAAAGUGGGUCCUAGUGAUCCGGCGGUUCCGAGUGGAAGGGCCGUCGCUCAUCGGAUAAAAGCUACCCCGGGGAUAACAGGCUGAUCCCGCCCGAGAGUUCCUAUCGACGGCGGGGAUUGGCACCUCGAUGUCGGCUCAUCGCAUCCUGGGGCUGUAGCAGGUCCCAAGGGUUGGUCUGUUCGCCCAUUAAAGCGGUACGUGAGCUGGGUUUAGAACGUCGUGAGACAGUUCGGUCCCUAUCCACCACGGGCGUAGGGGGUUUGAGAGGAGCUGCUCCUAGUACGAGAGGACCGGAGUGGACGAACCUCUGGUGUACCGGUUGUGGCGCCAGCUGCAGGAGCCGGGUAGCCAUGUUCGGAAAGGAUAACCGCUGAAGGCAUCUAAGCGGGAAGCCUCCCUCGAGAUGAGACCCCCCACUGGGGAAGCCAGGUAAGGUGUCCUGGAGAUGACAGGGUAGAUAGGCCGGAGGUGGAAGCCCCGAGAGGGGUGCAGCUGACCGGUACUAAUACACCGAGGCCUUGUCCUUA